GAUGAACGCUAGCGGCAGGCUUAAUACAUGCAAGUCGAGGGACAGCACAGGUAGCAAUACUGGGUGGUAACCGGCAAACGGGUGCGGAACACGUACACAACCUUCCUUUAAGUGGGGGAUAGCCCAGAGAAAUUUGGAUUAAUACCCCGUAAUAUAGUUGAAUAGCAUCAUUUGAUUAUUAUAGCUACGGCGCUUAAUGAUGGGUGUGCGGCUGAUUAGAUAGUUGGCGGGGUAACGGCCCACCAAGUCUACGAUCAGUAGCUGAUGUGAGAGCAUGAUCAGCCACACGGGCACUUAGACACGGUCCGGACUCCUACGGGAGGCAGCAGUAAGGAAUAUUGGUCAAUGGACGCAAGUCUGAACCAGCCAUGCCGCGUGAAGGAUUAAGGUCCUCUGGAUUGUAAACUUCUUUUAUUUGGGACGAAAAAGGGCCUUUCUAGGUCAACUGACGGUACCAGAUGAAUAAGCACCGGCUAACUCCGUGCCAGCAGCCGCCGUAACAC
rnacentral:rRNA from 1 species